UGAACAAAUUCAUUCAUCUGUCUACUGAAGCACCACUUUCUCUGAAGAUGUAAUUGCAAAGCACCAUAUUUAAGGAAACAUCCCUAAGAGGAAGCUGGGCUGACAGAGAAAAAAAAAAAAAGUCAAGAAGAGAAAUCUAUGAAUUCUUCUGAAUAUUAAAGGAACUUUUAAAAAUACACACAAGUUGCUGUAUUGUUCUGAAUUCCUACUGGAAAUAAAUAAGCAAAAUGAAAACAUACCCUGGACAAGUAAAAUAAAAUCCUGUCAUCUUUUGUGUCUGUUCAAGCAGGUACAAUUUUGAAAUUACUGACGUAUUUUUUCAUCUACCUUUAAUAAAUAGAUAUUUACUGAAAAUGUUGACAAACCUCUUUUUAUAGUAUUGCCAUUGGACGCUGAUAUAAUUAAAUCCCAGAAUAUGGCACAGUAUGCUAGUGAUAAAAACUGUCAGUAAUUUUGCAAUGAUUUAUGAUCUGCAGCUAAGAGGAAAGCUCCAACAAGACAAGCAAAAUUGUACACAUUGUUAAGAGGAAACAUUUUCCAUUAAAGAUUUAAAGGGAAAUCUUAUAAUUAAGUUUUCUAGAUAGAAGCUUUUCAAAGAUAUUUAGGUACCUACAGAUACAAAUAGGUGUCUUUUAUGAUACUAAAAGACAGUAGUUUGUUUAUUUGUUUGUUUGUUUGUUUGUAGUAAGAGUCAAGUAUCGAUAAAUAUAAAAAAAUCAAAGGUGAUGCAGUAUAAAAAUGUUAUAGGAUUCAAAGGUUCUGUUUUCAGGUGAAAUGAGUGUUUGCAAAAUCUUUAAAAAAAAAAAAAAAAAAAAAAGCCAUUAAACACAAAUGCAAAGGUUUCCAGCAGCAGUGUCCAUUUAGCUAAAACUAGCUCUCACACAGGUCUAUAUAGUAUUGUCUAUCAGUGGACAGACAAAGUGAUUUAUGGUAUGUCAAGAAAAAAUAGUAGUAGUAAUGAAUAACUAAACUUCAAAAGACACUCAAGAAAGACAACUAUUAUUUCAAUGCCUUCUUAUACUACAUUCUCUUUAAGAAAACAUACUAGGAAAAAAUGUAAAAAGCACUUCAGGCUUGCUUUAACAUGCUGCUUGUUUCUCCCUUCUUAUUCCUUUCGCAUUCUCUCUUCUCCCACUAAAUGCUGAAACACAUACUCUCACCUGUCAGCUUAGGUCCAUUUCCACAUUUCACAAUUGUUUCUGUGUAUGUGAUAUGUUUCUAUACUUAUAAGUUGAGUUGCUCUUCCUUCAAUGGCAUUUUGGAAAACCUAUGGUGACCUGAUGCACAACUUAAAUGAAUAUAAGCAGGAAAAAUAAUUAAUAUGAUUUCACUUUGAAAAUUAUCCUGUGGAAACAUCUGGCUCAUGAGCUGAAACUUAAAAGAGCAGAUGACAGCCAACCUGCCAGUGAAAGAUUAGGUGGACAGCUGAACAGAUGUGACACUUUUUGAAGAAGACUUUUUUAUUCCCGAUAAAUAUUGUAUCUCUCAACACGAUACAAAGAGCAAAUAGGGAUGUAGAUUCCAGUAGAUUUCAGCUUUCACUCUGCCAGAUGGUAUUUGUACAGCAGAAAAAUAAAAAUAAAAUCCAACAAAUACAUUGUUUUGUUUUGUUUUGUUUUUAGUAAAAUGAAAUGCUCUCUUCUCUGCUCAUUGAAAACUGCAACAUCAAAGUGCAUCAAAUCUUGAUGCCUUUUGGAUAAGCUGCAGAAUACAUUUUUUUCUAGAAUAUAAAACUCUGCAGUUCCAGGAACAUCUUGGUAAAUUUUCCAGACAAAGGAUAUUAUAGUUGGCUUUAGAUUUCUACUACAACUUCUUUUGUUUGACCCUGUUAUAAAUGGUAACUUAGGCUCAAUUUGGUCUUCCACACAAAUAAACCAGCUCUGAUUUUGGCAUCAUAAUUCUAUGAUGGGCCACUUCUGAUAAAAAUUUUUAGCCAAUGGACUGUGUAGGUAAGAUGACCUUUUCAAUAUCAAAGGAAGCCUCCGUUUGUUGAUAGUUUCUUGAUUCAGUAUACCUUUUCUGUCAAUCUAAAAACAGAAUCAAUGGAUAAACAGCAAUCUAAUUGUUCUGUUAAAUAUUUUUCAAUUCAGUUUGAAGAUAAUCACUGCUGUUUAGUGUAGUUGUUCUUACUCCUCCUAUUAUUUGAGAAUAAGGGUAUGAAUAUAAUUUCUUAUAUUUAAAAAGUUUUAGAUCUUCUUUCCUUUUUUGCCUCUUAUCAUUACCAUAAAUAAUUUUGUAAGCGAUCAAAACAUUAAAUUCAGCUCUGUAAUGUGCAAGCAGAAAUU